CUGAAAGUGCUCGUGCUAUACAUGCAAGUCGAACGCCUGGCCCAUUGAUUGAUGGUGCUUGCACCUGAUUGAUUUUGGUCGCCAACGAGUGGCGGACGGGUGAGUAACACGUAGGUAACCUGCCCAGAAGCGGGGGACAACAUUUGGAAACAGAUGCUAAUACCGCAUAACAGCGUUGUUCGCAUGAACAACGCUUAAAAGAUGGCUUCUCGCUAUCACUUCUGGAUGGACCUGCGGUGCAUUAGCUUGUUGGUGGGGGAACGGCCUACCAAGGCGAUGAUGCCUAGCCGAGUUGAGAGACUGAUCGGCCACAAUGGGACUGAGACACGGACCAUACUCCUACGGGAGGCAGCAGAAGGGAAUCUUCCACAAUGGGCGCAAGCCUGAUGGAGCAACACCGCGUGAGUGAAGAAGGGUUUCGGCUCGUAAAGCUCUGUUGUUAAAGAAGAACACGUAUGAGAGUAACUGUUCAUACCUUGACGGUAUUUAACCAGAAAGUCACGGUUAACUACGUGCCACCAGCCGCGGCAAUACGUAGGUGGCAAGCGUUAUCCGGAUUUAUUGGGCGUAAAGAGAGUGCAGGCGGUUUUCUAAGUCUGAUGUGAAAGCCUUCGGCUUAACCGGAGAAGUGCAUCGUAAACUGGAUAACUUGAGUGCAGAAGAGGGUAGCGGAACUCCAUGUGUAGCGGUGGAAUGCGUAGAUAUAUGGAAGAACACCAGUGGCGAAGUCGGCUACCUGGUCUGCAACUGACGCUGAGACUCGAAAGCAUGGGUAGCGAACAGGAUUAGAUACCCUGGUAGUCCAUGCCGUAAACGAUGAGUGCUAGGUGUUGGAGGGUUCCGCCCUUCAGUGCCGGAGCUAACGCAUUAAGCACUCCGCCUGGCGAGUACGACCGCAAGGUUGAAACUCAAUGGAAUUGACCGGGGCCGCACAAGCAGCGGAGCAUGUGGUUUAAUCGAAGCUACGCACAUAACCUGA
rnacentral:rRNA from 1 species